GCUCCGGUGGUCUAAUGGUUUAGGACACAGCCCUUUCAAGGCUGAGAUGCAGGGUUCAAUUCCCGCUCGGAGUACCA
rnacentral:tRNA from 1 species